CGACGGCAAGAUUCCGUCGAUAACGAACCAAAAGGAAAUAAUGGCCAAUGAGCAAUGCGGUGGAGGCGGCUACGGAUGACGGCGGCGAUGAUAGGGAACGAAUGGCGUCGCGCGUGCACAAAGGGGAGCGGCGGAAGUCGUACAGGCGUAGAGAGGAGAGAGGGAUCGAGCGAAAGAGAGAGGUGGAUCGGGUCGGGGGG
rnacentral:lncRNA from 1 species